GACCUACGGCAUGGUGUGAACAGGUCAUGUGUGAUGCAGUGUGAUAGUGAAAUAUGCUGCAUCGCGUGUGACCUCCCUACACAGCACUGUGUC